ACAUCCAAAGAUGAGAAUAUUAAUGUUGAGUCUGUAUCUUAUUUCCAUUUUUAUCUCUACUUAUGUGAAUUGUUUCAUUUGUGAAUUGUGAGCUUAUACUUAUCUAUUUGUUUAUUUUCUCUGAUGUCAGCUAACAUGUCAUUUAAUCCUGAUUGUGUCCCUAAACUUAAGGGAUCAAAUUUUGUG